AACUGAUACUACCUGCGGGAACCUGCGGAAGGAUCAUUACCGAAUGUUACCAAACAAACCACUGUGAACCGUCCUUUUAGCUGUUUCGGCGGGCGAUCCCAGGGCGGGAUCCCGGGCUCCUUCGGGGGUGCUCGCCGGCGGCCACUUUCUAGCUCUGUUUCCAGCGGGCUUCUGAGUGUAAGACAAAAAUUAUCAAAACUUUCAGCAAUGGAUCUCU
rnacentral:misc_RNA from 1 species